rnacentral:rRNA from 1 species
UAAUACAGAGGGGGCAAGCGUUAUUCGGAAUUAUUGGGCGUAAAGGGCGCGUAGGCGGCCGUGCAAGUGGAAGGUGAAAUCCCUCGGCUCAACCGAGGAACUGCCUUUCAAACUGCUUGGCUUGAGUCCGGGAGAGGUGAGUGGAAUUCCCAGUGUAGCGGUGAAAUGCGUAGAUAUUGGGAGGAACACCAGUGGCGAAGGCGGCUCACUGGACCGGAACUGACGCUGAGGCGCGAAAGCGUGGGGAGCAAACGGGAUUAGAUACCCCGGUAGUCCACGCCGUAAACGAUGAGUGCUUGGUGUAGCGGGUAUCGACCCCUGCUGUGCCGAAGUCAACACAUUAAGCACUCCGCCUGGGGAGUACGGUCGCAAGGCUG